rnacentral:rRNA from 1 species
UACGGGGGGGGCAAGCGUUGUUCGGAAUUACUGGGCGUAAAGCGCGCGUAGGCGGUCCUUUAAGUCUGAUGUGAAAGCCCACGGCUCAACCGUGGAGGGUCAUUGGAAACUGGCGAGCUGGAGUGUGGCAGAGGGGGGUGGAAUUCCGCGUGUAGCAGUGAAAUGCGUAGAGAUGCGGAGGAACACCGAUGGCGAAGGCAGCCCCCUGGGCCAACACUGACGCUCAGGCACGAAAGCGUGGGGAGCAAACAGG